CUAAUGUCUGGGGAGAAGCGCCGCUGAACACGAAAGGAACCCCCACCUCCCAUUGUUUCUAUCUCCUUCAACAGAAGCCCUCCGUCGUUUUGCAAUCAAACACAAAUGACCCCCCCCUAAUCGUCUUCUUCAACUCUUCUUCUCACCGGUCAAUGGAGAACUUGCCAGAAAACACAUCUACCUCCAUCGCCACUGCUCCUUCUUCUUCGUCCAUCACAGCUACAACAACCAUGAAACCUGCUUGAAUCCUCCGUGAAACAGUCCAAAAAGCCACCAUUCAAACAAAAGAUAAAAGGAAAAAGAACAAAUCGAGAGAAAAUAGCAGUGAUGAUAUUCAGUCCAAAAACAGAACCAUGAAACCCCAAUAUGAAUCAAUUCCAGAUUUCGUGUCUUCAAUGCUCAGAAACCAGCCGUUUAAGUCUGACAUUCUGGUUCAUGUUUGAGCUUUCUUUCAAGCUUUAGGGUCGUCGAUGGUCGUUGUCUAGGGAGGCUCUAUUUCAGUCGUGCGUUGAUGUGCCAUUUGAUUGGUUUUCGGUUGAAUUCCGUCCGGGGUUCUAACGUUUGGAGGUCCGUCUCUUUCCUCCUCUUUGGUUACCUGUGAGAUGGUUUUAAGCAUGACAUUGAUUUUUUACAUUUGUUUGAGUCAUUGAGUCUUUCAAGUUGGUCUUAGAAUCUCUUAAUACACAAAGUGUUUGUUGUCGAUUUUAGUUGAAAUUGAAUAAUUUGUGUUAUGUUUGAGCUUGACGGUUUAAUGAGAAAGCAUUCUAUAGUUUAAAUUUUAAAUUAGUUUGAGGUCAGAUUGCCAUAUGAAUUAGUGCUUAAAAUAUUUUGCAAUGUCCAUAAUGUUAGUGCUUAAUUACAGUGAUGGGUUUCUCUUCCAAUGCAAGUUAAUAUUUGGCCAUUUUCUUGUCUAAAUUAGGUACUGUUAGUUUUAAAGGGACAAUAUUAUGCUUCAGGUUGCUUUUAUUUGCCUUGUUAUUCUCAUCGUUUCUUAUUUAUUUAUUUUGCGUUUUGUUUUCUCUGAAUACCAUAUGUUUCAUUGUGUGUGUAUCUCUUAUUGAUUAAAUAUGAGGCCAAAAAUCAGAACUUUGCUAGCCGCUAUAAUUUUGAAUAUUGAUAAUAAUAAGAUAAAGAUGUUAUAAACCCGGGUGUACAUUUCAUGUGACCCGAUUCUAAUUUCCAGCAAGGUUAAAUAGGACGUGUCGUGAACCACGGGUGCAUUUCAUGUGGCGUGGCUUGCGAUAUGUUUUAAAUAACCUUGAAUCUUUCUGAAAUAUUAAAAACGGCUAAAAAGUUAAACAAUGCACAUAGGUUUAAAAGUGUUUUAAAAUCAGAUAAUUAGGCAAAUAAUAACAGUUGAGCGACCGUACUAAAACCACGGAAUCCGGGAAUACCUAACACCUUCAUCCGGGUUAAUAGAAUUCUUUACCCGGAUUUCUGUGUUCGCGGACAGUAGAAUAGAGUCAAUCUUUCCUCGAUUCGGGAUUUGAACCGGUGACUUAGGACACCAUAAAUUAUCCCAAGUGGUGACUCUAAAUUUAAAUAAAUAAAUAAUCUCGUUUCGAUUGUCACUUAAAUUGGAAAAAACUCUCUUAUACCCUUCUGGGGUGUAGGUUAAAAGGAGGUGUGACAGGCCUCACUCAGUCCGAAAAUCAUCACAAGCCCCUCGGGCAUUAGUAAAGCAGUAGUUCUCAGCCCAAAACAUCAUUUAGAAAUAUCAUUUAAGUUUCAAAUAUGAGUAAUAAUGGUUGAGUUUGUAAAACAGUAAAUAUCAACAGGACUGAGUUCAAGUAAUAAGUCAAAACAGUGAGGAAAUAGUGAUAAAAAUACCCGGAGGGUUCAAAUAGUUAGCACGAAGCCCAAAUAUGGCAAUCAGCCCAAAUCAUGAUGCUAACAAACAGGUUUCAGUCAAAUACGCAGUAAAAUCAUCAAUUGGGAUGGACCAAGUCACAAUCCUCAAUUGUAAACAACCCCACACUCAUUAUUAGCGCGUGUCUCACCUUAAUAUAGCACUACGAUGUGCAAUCCGGGGUUUUAAACCCUUAGAGUAUCAUUUACAAUCAUUACUCACCUCGAAUCGGCUAAAUCUCUAGCUCGCGACGCCUUUGCCCCUAAAAUCGGUCUCCACGCGCGUCGAAUCUUUCCAAAAUCAGAAUGAAUACGUCACAAUAUGCUAAGGGAACAAAGCCCAAGCAAAAACAAUCAGAAAAUACCAAAAAUUCCGAAAUUAGCAAAACCCAAGCCCCGGGCCCACUUCUCGAAACUCAAAUAUUUUCACAUCAUUAGAUUCCUUUCUCCUCACGAGUUCAUACAUAUCAAAUUUACCAAAAUCUGACCUCAUAUGGUCACUCAAAUUCUAAAAAUUCACUCUCCAAUUUCAAGCCCUAAUUUCCCAACUCUUCUUCUAAAUUCAACAAAUUUUCAUGAUUAAACAAUGUUAUAAUCACCAUAAAUACAAGGUAUAAAUCCCAAGUAGCUUACCUCUGCGGAUACACUUGAUCCCCUCUUGAAAUCACAGCUUGGAGCUCCAAAAUCGCACAAAAAUGAUGAACAAAUGACUUAAAAUCACGAAAGGGAAUUUUUAUACCAUCUGCCCAGCCCUUUCGUACUUGCGAUCCAGUAAGCGCAUAUGCGCUUCCGCUUCUGCGAAUUUCACUUAUGAGUCAGGACCCAUUUCUGCGGUCCAAAAGCACACCUGCGGUACCGCAUAUGCGGUUCUCCCUCCGCUUCUGCGAAAAUCACUUGCCGACCAAAUCUCGCAUCUGCGAUCCUUUCCCCACAUUUGCGGCUUCGCAGAUGCGGUCCACAUAGCCGCUUCUACGGUCUCAGCCCAUCUGAUCCUUUUUUGCUUCUGCGAUGAAUCACCUGCAUCUGCGGUCUGCAAAAAUACCAGAAGCUGCAAAUCUGAAGCUACAACCAACAUCUAACUUCUCUGAUAACCAUCCGAAAUCAUCCCGAAGCCCCCAGGACUUCAACCAAAAGUACAAACAUAGCCCAAUACCUUAUUUAAACUUGUUACAAUCAUCAAAACACCUCAAACAACAUCAAAUCUACCAAAUCAUAUCGAAUUCAAGCCUAAGUUUCUAAAAAUCUUCUGAAAUACUCUUUUGAUAAAAAACCCAACCAAAUCACGUCCAAAUGACCCGAAAUUUUGCACACACAUCCCAAAUGACACAAUGAAGUUACUGUAACUCUCGGAAUUCCAUUCUGACCCUUAUAUAAAAAUCUUGCCUAUCAACCGGAAAUCGCCAAAAUAUCAAUUUCGCCAAUUCAAGCCUAAACCUACUCUGGACAUCCAAAACCAAUUCCGAUCAUGCUCCUAAGUCAUAAAUCACCCAACGAAGCUAACAAAAUCAUAAAAAUUCCGUUACGAGCUCAUAUACAAAUAAGUCAACUCUUGGUCAAACCUUUCAAUUUCAAAGCUUUCAUCUGAGACUGUUCUUUCAAAUUCAUUCCGAUUUUCCAGAAAACCAAAACCAACGAUCUACAUCAGUCACAAUACAUUACUCGGGGCAAGUCAUGCCCGAGAACUGGCAAUCAAAGUGCAAAAGCUCAAAGCGACUGGUCUGGUCGUUACAUCUGUAAAGACAAAUAGAGAACUACUAGUUCAAAUAGUCUCUAGUAAGAAAAUCAGGAAGGGUAUUAUCAGACCCUUUUUUGUAUAUAAUUUCGAAAUCAAAAGGGGAUAAUAAAUCUUGCCCCCUUGCAAACAUUUGUUUAGACACAUCAUGUUUGAAAUCUUUACUAAAGAUAAAUUUUGCUGCUUGGCAAUCAGUUUUAAUCAACAAUUUUUGAUUGUAUAAAUUAGUCUGAAAUUUCAUAACACAUUUGACAAUAGCAAGAAUUUCUUUAGCUACAGUCGCAUAAUUUUUCUGGGAACCAUUCCACUUACCAGAAUAAAACUGAACAAGAUAUUCUUGUUUAUCUAUUAGAGAACAUUAUUUCAAUAUCCCACCAUAACCGAUAUCAGAGGCAUCAGUUUCUACAACCUUUGCCCAAGUGGGAUUAGCAAGAGUCAAACAAGGAAGGUUAUUAACCUUUUGUUUAGUUCUCUUGACUGCUUCAGUAUGACUCUCAGUCCAAGCGUUAGGGUUCUUCUUUAGUCUUUCAUAAAGAAGAGCUGUAUCCUUAGCUAGAUCCUUUAUAAAAGGAGAAAUAUAAUUUAAGCUUCCUAAAAAUCGUUGAACAUGGGUUUUAUCAGUAAUAAUAUCAGGGAACUUAGAAGCAAAUUCAGUACUUCUAUUAAUAGGAAUGAUCCUACCCUUCUCAAUGUUAUGACCCAAAAAUCUAACAGAAGUUUGGAAAAUCAUCAUUUUUGGUUUUGAUAUAACUAAAUCAUUCUGAAUAAUAAUGUUUUUAAACAAAUCAAGAUGUUUGAAAUGAGACUCAAUUUUUUUUGAAAAUACUAAGAUAUCAUCAAUAUAAACAAUUAUAAAAUCCGUAUAAGGAAGGAAAAUAUCAUUCAUAAUUUUUUGAAAUUCAGAAGGAGCAUUUUUCAAUCCAAAGGGCAUAACAUUCCAUUCAUAUUGACCCAUUGGAACAUUGAAAGCCGUUUUAUACCUAUCUGAUUCAGAUAUCUGAAUUUGUCAAUAACCUGAUUUUAAAUCAAAUUUUAAAUAUAAUGGCAUCAUGCAAUUUGUUUAAUAAAUCCUUUUUAUUAGGAAUAGGAUAUCUAAUCCAUUUUAAAACCUUAUUAAGGGUCUUGUAAUUAAUGACUAAUCUAGGAACUCCUCGUUCCUGUUCAGCAUGCUUAUUUACAUAAAAAGCAGUACAAUACCAUUUGAACUUUGAGAGCCUAAUUAAACCCUUCUGCUGCAAGGAAUCAAUUUUCUUUUUGCAUAACUCCAAAUAAUCAGAGUUCAUUUGACAAGGUCGAGCCGUGGUAGAGAUAUUAUCCUCAAAAAAGUCUUCUUCAUAAGGAAGACUUAUAAUGUGCUUCUUCCUACUCCAAAAUUGGCUUGGAUGGUCACCACAAAUAGAAGCAGAAAAUUGAUUUUUGAGAAAAUUAAUUUUUUCUACUAACUUAGGCUUUUUUAAAUACUGUACAAUGCUGAUGGAACAAAUCAUAUUUCUCAAAAAUUCAAUUNNNNNNNNNNNNNNNNNNNNNNUACCGGUAAAACUUUUUGUAUCCCAAUAUAAAAAAGGCAUUAAUUUAAUAAAAAAUGGGACACCAUGUAUUACAUCCCCAUCAAUAUCUUUUACCAAUACAAAACUUUCAGGAAUACAGGUAUCCUGUUGGCAAAUAUAAGCCCUAGGUAAUUUGUAUGAAAUACCCAUUGCACCACCACUAGCAUUAUUUAAACGGUGAGUGGUUUUAUGAAAAUAUCUGGAGGGUAUUACUCCUUCUUUUACACAAUAUAAAUCUACUCCACUAUCAAAUAAAGCAACAAACUCUUUUUUUAAAUUAUAGUCAAUUAAAAGUGUUAUUUUUAUUAAAAACUUUUGGGUGAUAAAAUAUAGCAGUUUUUCUAGAAAUUCAUCUUCAGAAAAGUCCAUAGCUGCAAGCAAAGUAUUAGCAGUAUUUUCUUCUGAAGAACUAGCCGUAGUAUUUAUCUCAGUAAUCUUGAUACUGGGAUCUGCUUGGCAGAAUUCUCUAAUUUGAAAAUCCUUUCAUCUAAGACUACUUUUGAAGCCUUUAAUUCCGAGAUUUCUUUCUUGAGAUAAUUUAUCUCAGUACUUAAAUCUUGGACAGCAGCAAGCCUUUCAGGCUGAGACUUGUUUUUCACCAUUUUUGUGAUUUCAGACAUGGUGUAAGGUCCUUUUUGAGAUGGAAUUUCUUCCACCUCUGUUCCUGCUUCUGAACUAGUAGGAAGUUUAUCAAUAAGUUGGGACCUUAAUUCAGGGUCUUUAAUAACCCUUAGAAGAUCAAUCAUAUUAUCAUUAGAUAGAACAUUGAUCUUCAAGUCUCUAAAUUGAGAGCAAAUAUUAAAAAGUUCAUCGUCGGUAUUGCAACAAUGAUUUGAGCAUUGUCCCUUAUUAUAGAACUCUUGCUCUUCUUCAGAAGAUGAAGUAUAACUUUCUUCAUGAAGGACCCUUAGGUCUUCACUUGUUGAUGAAUUAUCUUCAUCAGUGUCCGAUAUAUCUGGGGAAGAAUUUAAAAUAAUCUUGCAUAAAAAAUCUUUAAUAUGAUCGUCUAAAUCUAAUUCCUUGAUCUUAUCCUUAAUUUUGCAAUCCUUUGCAUAAUGACCUACUCUUCCCCAUUUAUAACAGGCAUGAGGGUUUUUUGGUUUAAUAAAACCCUUUCUGGCUUUAUGAAAAGCCUUUGUUCUUUGGGUCUUUACAUGCCGUUUCUCCAGCGAACCCUUGUUCCUUUUGAAAUCCUUUUUAUGGGAUUUCUUCUUCUUAGAAGGUAUAUCAAUGGCGAAAUGUUCACAGAAUUCACCUAAUUGUUGUCUCUCAGUGAGACAAUAUUUCUUAGUUUGUUGGUUUAGCUUGAUCUCAUAACACAGAGCUAAACCUUCCUGAGUGCAUAGACUAAAGAGUUUACCAUAUGAGUAAGUAUCAUAAUUGAUACUCAUCCCUGUGCCUCUAAUGAUUUUUCGAAUCCUUUCAGCAAAUAAGGGAGGGAGUCCAUCAAUAAAUUUAGACUUCCAAUGAGUACUAUUACUUUCUAGUAAUUCCAUCACUCUGGAUAAGAAAACAUAUUUAUACCAUCGAAAAGAUGUGAUGGUUUUACACCUCAAAUUCUGGAGCAUCGUUCUAAUGGUCUUACUAUUAUCAGACCAUCUUCCAGAAAAGUGUUCGAUGAUGUUCAUGACUAAAGAAUAGACUGAGUUUUGAAUAGUCUUAUCCUCUUCAGUCUUGGUUGCGUUCAUUAUUUGAAAACGCUGGCCAUGAGUGAGAUAAUUAUCCCACCAGCCUUUCAGCUGGCCAGUAAAUCCGGCAAUAAUCAUUUCUACAAUUUCCCUAUCUAUAUUCUUAUUAACCUUACAGAUAGUACUGUACAUAAGCAUUCUAUGUACUAUAGUAUAGAUCUGUCUUUCAACAAGACCAUCUAUAUUCCAUUCAUAGAUAUCUGACUCACUAUAACCCUAGUGAUAAUGGUCAUUGUCCUGUUCUUCUAUUAGGACAUCUUGGGGGUAGGUCUAGGAUAGUAAAACAUUUUCUGGUAUGGUUUUCGAGCAUACUUUUCAGAGAUUUUAUUAAUCUCGUCGUCUACCUUCAGAUUGCUAGUAGACGCAUGCUCUAAAGUUAGAGGGCUAGCUCUAAAUUCACCUUACUUCUUAACAAGAAGUUCUUCAAUAUUCUCUAAACUUAGGUUAUCCAGACUUUUCAAUUUAAAGUCCUUUACCUCAGGAGGUGGUUGGACACUUGUAGUAGUGAUUUGAUCUUUACCUUUAGUAUCCUUCUGUUGGAUUUUUUGGACCUCAGCUAUAAGCUUGUCCAAUUUCUCAUGAAUUUUGAUAGCCUGUUCACCCAAAUACUUACAUACAUAUUAGUAUAAUUGUUCUGAGUAAGCAUAGUAUUCAGGUUCUUCGCAGUUAUAGCAGCAACAUCAUUUUCAAAUAUUUUUGAAAAAAGUAAUGCAGUAAAUAAUCUUAUCUUUUUCCCCUAUAUGAAAAGAUUGUUGGGGUGGAAAAAUAGAAUUAACAAUAUUUCCAUUAGUGAGCGUAUAAUCUCUUUCUAACACAGAAACAUAGUUAUAAACAUGUUUUGACAUAAACCAAGGAACAAAAGCAAUAAUCUUAUUUUUUUUGCUAAUAUCCCCAUAAAAUCAUUUCUAAACAAUUGUAUUAAUUUAGGAGUCAUGUUUUCAUGAAAUCAUUUUCUGAAAACAACCCAUUUGGAUUUUAGAAAUUCUUCUAAAAUCAUUUUUCUUGCCGGUGAACCCGGACUAAAAUCUAUUUGGUUUUCAAUCAUUUUUAAAACCAUUUGUAAAAUUCAUAUCGGAUGGAGUAGGUUCAAAAUCUGCAGUAUUAUUAAUCUUGACAAUAUUAUCACUACUGAUGCUGAUAUCAUUAACUCUAUUAUUUUCUCUAAUUUGAGAUGUGGAUGCUCUAGAUGGAAAAUCUACCACGUAAUCAAUUGGAGAAAUAUAUGAAUAGCUUGAUCUAGUUAAUCUAGAUAAUAAACUGAUAUUAUCAGUUUGCUCAGGUUCAUUGAACCUGAUUUUAACAGUGCCAUCUGAGGUUUGUUUUAUUUCUGUAACCUCAGUAUUACUAGUGUUUCGAGGGGCAACUGCUUCCUCUAUGACCCAUUCCUUAGGGAAAUCAAUUUCAUCCCAUUUGAUAGGUCUUUUGGUGUUUACUUUGGAUUUACCAAAGUUGGUUUCUAUAAGAAUAGUUUCAUUUUUGAAAUCCAUAAUUUUUCACAUAGGAUUCAAAGUAUAUAACGGUUUGAAAUAAAUCCUAUAGCAGAUGCAUAUGACUUCUGUACUAGGCAAACAAUUAUAACCAUGUAAUAUAAUGCUAAGUAUUAAAGCAUUCAAAGAAUUCUCAUCAUUAAGAGAAAUCUGCAAAUUAGGAAUACAUUAAAAUAAACAGGGCCAUAGGCCAAACUGGUUUGCACAGUCCCUAUGAGAGACUUUUUCCAGUCCUGGUUUCUGCCAUCUCUAAGAGCUGCAAUAGAGCUUUCAGGUAAGCCUCUUAAAGUAAGUGGCUUAAAGGCAACUUGUAUUAAACCUAUAUGUAUAAAUCUAUAUGAAUCCCUAUAAGGGACUAAAUCACUUUCAGAUAAUAAUCUGAACGUAGCAUGAUCACUAUCUACAGUGAUAGUCUCUUCAGCAGUUUUAACUACCUGUUUUAAACCUAUUCUUUUAAAGGUACCUAACUGGUAUAUUACAUUAGGUUUGAUUAAUGGGAUAGUCCACUUAUUAAGAAGGUCUAAUUGUUGAGGUAAUUCAUACUCCUCUUUCCUACUGUUUUUAACAGCAGUCUUCUUCCUAAUGAUAUUCAUUAAGAAAAUAGUGUUAAACUUAGUCUCUAAUGUUUUUUACUAACAUGGCUCUGAUACCAAGGGGGUACAGGAUCGCUUCCGAAUGAGGCUCGGGAAAUGAAUUACAAGAAUUUCAGCCCUAGCUAGCUACUAACCUCUAGGCAAACCUUAAACCACGAUGCUCCUCACAACCCUUCAACGGCCACCUGCCUAACGGGUUUACGAGCACCACCGGUUAGGUUGGCCUAACCAAGGUUUACUAUCGAGAAUAGUAACUGCCUGGUUUAUAUAGUUCUUAACCCAAAACCUCAUCGGAGUUAUACAGUAGACUCCUAGCUACGAAACAUGCAUAGUAAACAACCUUCGAAUACUAAGUCUAACACUUACAUGUUUACCCGAUCAUUUAGGCCAACAGUGCUACAAAAAUGAAAGAGGGAAGGAGAAGAACAGUACCAGACCAAAGACCCUUUGUUGUGGCCAAGUGACCUUUUUGAUUUUUAUUUCUGAAUUGAAAAUAUUACAAAAGGGGUUUUUUACAAGUAGAGAGAGAAACUAGAGAGAAGUCAGAGCGUUUUGUAAUGCCUUGGCUAAUGCCUACUUCUCUGAAUAAUAAAAUGAUCGUUAUAUAAUGGAUCGGUCUACAAACAAACAAAACUAAAAAGUAAAACUGGCCAACAAAAUAAUUACAGGUGUGGCCGACAAGAUAAAAAAAGUUCUAUAAUUAAGUCCGAACAAACUACUUUAUAAAAGUAGAAUCCCUUCAAUAAUGGAGGGGCCCGUUAGUUUAUUAAAGUCGUCUUUACUACCCCAAUAAUUUAUCUAUUGGGGCCUUCAAUAAUUCAGACUUUGCUUUUCCCUUUGUCGUUUUUCACCAAAGAUUCUUCGGCACUUUCCUUCAGCUUUGUAAGGAAAUCUUCAAUUUCUUCAAUAUUAAUUUUUGUGUCAGAGGGGCUCUGUGCUUCACCUGCUACACAUAUUCCUUCAUUUGAAGUGCUUUCAAUGGAGGUCAUAGAGAUAUCAUCUCUGACUGUUGUUUCAAAAUUUCUUACUAGAUCCUUCUUUAUUUCUUCAAAGUAUGAAGCAAGGAUCUCUUUCUUUGAUAUAGCUCCUUUCUUCAUUUGGAGCCGCUUUGUGAUCAUUUCAAAAGGACUUAAUUUUUCCUCUGCAACCUGUGUUCUGUCUAAUUUGACAGUCUUCUAUUUUAGCCUGUAUUUGUUGAAUCAAUUCUUCACCAUAUAACUUGCCUUGCUGAUUAGUCUGGAAUAACUUAGACCAAAACUUAUGAUAAAAAAUUCUGUUAAGGCAGGGAAUUCCUUCAUUGGUAUAACCGAUCUGUACAUCCCAUUUCAUUAUGCAAGGGAUUGAAAAUUCGAUAAAUAAAUACAUGGUAGCAAUACCAUUAUAAAAGAUAUUAUCAUUUUGUAAUGACAGAAUUUGGGAUAUAUGUCUACCCACUGAGAAUAUAAAGCUUUUAGUAGAGGGUUGAGUAUUUCUAAUGAUGGACCGUAUAACAUCCACCACUUGAAGAACCAAUUUGGAAUUUGUUGUCCGAACAUAUUAGGACAGAGUUUAAUAAACUAAGAAUGUUUCCUAUUAGGAUUUUCAUAAAGGAAAGUUUAAUUAAAACUCUCUACAUAGUCCCAAUAAUUGAACUUAACUGAUACCUUUUGGUUAGGAUAUGUGUAUUCACGAUCCUUGAGAGUACUGAUACCCCAUUCAUCAGAAGGUAUGACCUUCAUUAUUAUAAUCUUCAAAAAACUAUAAUUUUUCCUAGUAUUAUCAGGAUAAAAGUGCUGAAUUUCAACAGAUCCUGUUGUUGGGAGUAUAAUCUCAUAGUGCAUCCUGUAUUUAUAAGCAGGAGUAGUGUAUAACGCUGUAUCAAAAUACCUGGCCAUUAUUUUCCAAGGAUUAUCCUUCCAUUUAGGUCGGAUUGUUCCAAAAGAAUUAUUAACUCUUUUGUCUCUUUUUGAGUAUAAAACUCAAAAUUCUCAUUACUAUCCUCUGAUAUAACUGAGGAGUAGGUUGGUACAUUAGAUGUGGAUAAUGUACCUUCAUCUUUCUUGGAUUGUAUAAAAUCCAUGAAUUCUUUGUAUAAAGGAUGUUCGGUAUUACCUUCUGUUAUAUUGGCGGCUAUUAGCCUUUGAUUUCCAAUUUGGGCGAGAAUAUUAUUCCCUCUACCAUCGGUAGAUGCCCUACCUCUUCCUCGCUAUGACGACCCAAAGGGUCAUCACCUAUUUUUAAUUGUAUUAUGUGCUUCCUAGGCCUUGAAAACCUCAUUUAGAGUCACCUCAAUUUGUGUGCGCAGUCCGGGCACGUAGCCGGAAAGCUUAAAUAUGAAAUUUUGUAAAAAAUGAUGAAAUUUGAGUUUAAAAUGAAUAAAUUUGACUUCGGUCAAUAUUUUGGGUAAACGGACCCGGACCCGUGAUUUGAGGUCCCGGAGGGUUUGUAGGAAAAUAUGGGACUUGGGCGUAUGCCCGGAAUCAAAUUCCGAGGUCGCGAUCCUGAGAAAUCAAUUUUUUAAAGGAAAUUAUUUUUCUGAAAUUAUUAAGAAAAAUUGAAAUGAAAUUUGAUUAGAACGUGUUGGUAUCAGGUCCGUAUUUUGGUUCCGAUGCCUGGUACAGGUCUUAUAUAUGAUUUAAGAUGUUUCUGUAAAGUUUGGUUAAAAUCGGACGUCGUUUGACGUGUUUCAGACUUGAAAUGCUAAAUUUGAAACUUGAUAAAGUAUUUGGAAAAAUUCUUGAUUUUGAGGUUUGAUUCAUUGUUUUUAAGGUUAUUUAGGUGAUUUGAUCACACUGAUAGGUUCGUACAAUGAUGUUGAGUUAGUGCAUGUGUUUGGUUAGGAUCCCCGAGGGCUCGGGAGUAUUCCGGAGGUGUUUCAUAGUGGUUUUAGACUUAUGAAAGUUGCAGGUUUCCAGUUCUGGUAUGGUCUUCUUCGCGUUCACGGGAGAACCCUUGCGAACGCGAUGAGUAAAUUUCCUGAAGGAAAUUCCCUUCUACGCGAACACGUAGACCAGGUCGCGAACACGAGGCAACGUGGGGCUAGACCUUCGCGAACGCGUUCCUGGCUAUGCGAACGCGAAGGCCAAGUGCCUGUGCAGGGGGAAUGGGUAGAACACCCUACGCGAACGCGAGGGCUCAAGGAGCAACAGCUUCGCGAACGCGAGCCCCUAUCCGCGAACGCGAAGGCCAAAAAGCCUGACCCAUAGCAAACACGAGAGGUCUAUCGCAAACGCGUAGAGUCAUUUUGCUCAAUUAUUUUAAAGUUCCAAAACAGAACCACAAACGGGAUUUCAUAACAUUUUCAUAAACCCUUUCUUCUUCAAAGCUCCUAGGCGAUUUUUGAAGCAUUUCUUCACCAAAGUUUCUUAGGUAAGCAUUGUUUAACUCGUUUUCUUCAUUUUCCAUCAACAUCUAUUGAAAUUCUAGGCCUAAAACAUGUAAUUAAGGGUAGAAAUUAGGGAAUUGGGUAGAGCUAGGGCUUUUUGAUUUUUCUUGAUUUAGACCUCGUUUUGGGGUGGAAUUUGAAAACAAAUUAUAUAUUCGGGCUCGUAGGUGAAUGGGUGAUCGGGUUUUGGUCUGAACAUCGUGUUAUGACGCAGCGGGACCAGGAUCAAUUUUUGGGAUUUUGGGAAGAAUGAUUGGAAAGUUAUAAUUGAACAUUGAAAUUGGAUUGUUUAGCACUUAUUGAUGAUAUUGAGUCAAUUGUGCAUAGAUUCGAUUGGGUUGGAGCCGAAUUUAAGAGGAAAACCGGUGUUCGAGGCUUGAGUUGGCCGUGGAAGUUCGAGGUAAGUGUUCGGUCUAACCUCAGUUUGAGGGAUUAGGAAUUGAGUCCUAUUUGCUACUUGCUUCUUGUUGAGUGUAACGUAUAGGCAUGGUGACGAGUAUCUAUACGUUGCUGUCGAGCAAGACCGUGAGUCUUAAAUUUGAACGUUGUUGUGCUCUCAUAUGGCACUUCAGAUGCUUUAAUUAAUGAUCUCCUAUAUUGAGUAAAGAUUGAUUUUAUCCUCGUAGAUCUUAGUUAUGAUUGAG
rnacentral:lncRNA from 1 species